rnacentral:tRNA from 1 species
GCGGUUGUGGCCCUGUGGUAGAGCGCUCGCCUAACAUGCGUGAAGCCCUGGGUUCGAUACUCAGCACCACA